GAUGAAUGCUGGCGGCGUGCCUAACACAUGCAAGUCGAGCGGCAGCGAGGGGUGCUUGCACCCUGUCGGCGAGCGGCGAACGGCUGAGUAACGCGUAGGAAUUUGCCCCAAAGUGAGGAAUAACUGCCCGAAAGGGUAGCUAAUGCCGCAUAUGGUCUUCGGAUUAAAGGAUUUAUCCGCUUUGGGAGAAGCCUGCGUUGGAUUAGGUUGUUGGUAGGGUAAUGGCCUACCAAGCCGACGAUCCAUAGCUGGCCUGAGGGGAUGAUCAGCCAGACUGGAACUGAGACACGGUCCAGACUCCUACGGGAGGCAGCAGUGAGGAAUCUUCCACAAUGGGCGAAAGCCUGAUGGAGCAACGCCGCGUGAAGGAUGAAGGCCUUCGGGUUGUAAACUUCUUUUAUGAGUGAAGAAUAUGACGGUAACUCAUGAAUAAGCACCGGCUAACUACGUG
rnacentral:rRNA from 1 species